CUGACCCUUCGGGGAACGAUAACGGCGUCGAGAGGAAAAAAAGGUGAGUAAUGCCUAGGAAAUUGCCCUGAUGUGGGGGAUAACCAUUGGAAACGAUGGCUAAUACCGCAUAAUGCCUACGGGCCAAAGAGGGGGACCUUCGGGCCUCUCGCGUCACGAUAUGCCUAGGUGGGAUUAGCUAGUUGGUGAGGUAAGGGCUCACCAAGGCGACGAUCCCUAGCUGGUCUGAGAGGAUGAUCAGCCACACUGGAACUGAGACACGGUCCAGACUCCUACGGGAGGCAGCAGUGGGGAAUAUUGCACAAUGGGCGCAAGCCUGAUGCAACCAUGCCGCGUGUGUGAAGAAGGCCUUC
rnacentral:rRNA from 1 species